rnacentral:lncRNA from 1 species
CACACAUGCAUUUCCAUUUCAUUCACCUGCAAAACAGACAUAAGUGUUUCACCUCGGAGGAGCUGCACACCUGGAAUCACUGCCUUUGAGCUUGGAGAAAAUCGGAUAGCGGCAGUCAUGAAAAGCCAGGUGGCAGAGAAGGACGGACAUGCAAUUGCUGAAAAACCCCAAAUCCAGAAACACUGGGUGAAGAGAUGCAGAGGGUCCAAG